rnacentral:rRNA from 1 species
CCUACGGGAGGCUGCAGUCGAGAAUCAUUCACAAUGGGGGAAACCCUGAUGGUGCGACGCCGCGUGGGGGAAUGCAGGUCUUCGGAUUGUAAACCCCUGUCAUGUGGGAGCAAAUUAAAAAGAUAGUACCACAAGAGGAAGAGACGGCUAACUCUGUGCCAGCAGCCGCGGUAAUACAGAGGUCUCAAGCGUUGUUCGUAAUCACUGGGCGUAAAGCGUUCGUAGGCUGUUUCGUAAGUCGUGGGUGAAAGGCGCGGGCUCAACCCGCGAACGGCACAUGAUACUGCGAGACUAGAGUAAUGGAGGGGUAAGCGGAAUUCACGGUGUAGCAGUGAAAUGCGUAGAUAUCGAGAGGAACACUGGUGGCGAAGGCAGGUUACUGGACAUUAACUGACGCUGAGGCACGAAGGCCAGGGGAGCGAAAGGGAUUAGAUACCCUGGUAGUC